rnacentral:rRNA from 1 species
CCUACGGUGGCAGCAGUGGGGAAUAUUGGACAAUGGGCGAAAGCCUGAUCCAGCCAUGCCGCGUGUGUGAAGAAGGCCUUCGGGUUGUAAAGCACUUUCAGUGGGGAAGAAAGCCUUGGGGCUAAUACCCUAGAGGAAGGACAUCACCCACAGAAGAAGCACCGGCUAACUCCGUGCCAGCAGCCGCGGUAAUACGGAGGGUGCGAGCGUUAAUCGGAAUUACUGGGCGUAAAGCGCGCGUAGGCGGUCUGAUAAGCCGGUUGUGAAAGCCCCGGGCUCAACCUGGGAACGGCAUCCGGAACUGUCAGGCUAGAGUGCAGGAGAGGAAGGUAGAAUUCCCGGUGUAGCGGUGAAAUGCGUAGAGAUCGGGAGGAAUACCAGUGGCGAAGGCGGCCUUCUGGACUGACACUGACGCUGAGGUGCGAAAGCGUGGGUAGCAAACAGGAUUAGAUACCCCAGUAGUC